AACGGCUUGGGCGGCGCAAUGCCCCGAACCUGGUCAGGUCCUGACGGAAGCAGCCAUAAGGAGCCCCUGGCGAGCGCCCGAGCCACUUUU
rnacentral:SRP_RNA from 1 species